ensembl:lncRNA
UCUUCUUUUAUUUAUAUUCCUUUUUCUUCUCCUAAUGCACUGACUUGAUGAAAACUUUAAGCUGAUUUUAAGUCGAUCCAGUUCUGACCUAGCUGGCAAUUACGCAUAAAGACGACUAAAAAAAUAUGCUGCCAUGCGUCCCAGGUUGCCUGGAGACUUUAAUUCUUUUAUUAAUAAUUAAUAAAUACCAAAGACCAUACAUACAAAGUAUAAAAUAUCCCCCCAUUAGGACCAUUAAUAAGGAAUUUUAUUGAUGAAGAAACUACAAAAAUCAGUCUUUAAUAUCUUUAUUUCUAUCAUGGGAUCGAAGUUCCUAUUCAAAUGCAAGCAUGGUUUACACGGAAUGCUCAUGGUAAUUGAUUCUCACAGAUGUUAUUACCAAACCUGCAUUUAGAGGAAACAACUGACAUUUGACUGAGGAGAUCAUAUGCGCACAUGUGUGUAUUGAAAUGUCCUUGGAAGUUUGUUAAAUAACAGAUACUAUAAAUAUUUUUUCUUUUUUGACAGGGUUUAGUAGUUCUUUCAGAUAUCUGUAUUGCAGAAAAAGUCCAGAAACAUAAAUGUGUGAAGCCAAAUAUUCUGAACCUAAGCACCUAUACUCUUAGUUACAAACAUCUAAUUCAGAUAGGAAAGGUGGAAAAAUAUUAAGAACAGAGAUAAUAUCAAAAUACAUUUCCUCUGAACACUGGAUGAUGAUCCCGAGUUAGCAUUGUGGGCAUCUCUCAACUUUCAAAGAAUAAAAUUAAAAAUCAACUAAAUGUAUAUUGGAUCAAUUAUGCCCUGUGUGCUACCAUCCCGAUUCCAACCACAUGCAGUGUUCUAGCCCUCUUAAUUUGUUUUUCCCCACAACCUUCUGCUCUCUCCAUCCAGUCCAGCUUCAUGCAUAACUCUCUAGUUAUCCUGUCCUCAGCCUCAUAUGUUGGUUGCAUUCACUUAAAAGCAGCUUUAUACCCUGGCACAGUUAAUAUUGGGGGAUUGCCCACGAUCAGUCCACAUACAUUACCAGAGGGCUUACGGGGCUACGCUAGUAUUUGAAAGUCACCUUUCUUCUGUAUCAGAUGCUGGAUUUCCAGCAUAUCC